rnacentral:rRNA from 1 species
GAUGAACGCUAGCGGCAGGCCUAAUACAUGCAAGUCGAACGGGAUCCAGAUCAAAGCUUGCUUUGGUUUGGUGAGAGUGGCGCACGGGUGCGUAACGCGUGAGCAACCUACCCUUGUCAGGGGGAUAGCCCGGCGAAAGUCGGAUUAAUACCGCAUGACAUCAUUGAGAGGCAUCUUUCGAUGAUCAAAGAUUUAUCGGACAAGGAUGGGCUCGCGUGACAUUAGCUAGUUGGUAAGGUAACGGCUUACCAAGGCUACGAUGUCUAGGGGCUCUGAGAGGAGAAUCCCCCACACUGGUACUGAGACACGGACCAGACUCCUACGGGACGCAGCAGUAAGGAAUAUUAGUCAAUGGACGGAAGUCUGAACCAGCCAUGCCGCGUGCAGGAAGACGGCCCUAUGGGUUGUAAACUGCUUUUAUACAGGAACAAACGUCGGUACGUGUACCGGUCUGAGUGUACCGUAAGAAUAAGGAUCGGCUAACUCCGUG